GAUGAACGCUGGCGGCGUGCCUAAUACAUGCAAGUCGAGCGAACAGACGAGGAGCUUGCUCCUCUGACGUUAGCGGCGGACGGGUGAGUAACACGUGGAUAACCUACCUAUAAGACUGGGAUAACUUCGGGAAACCGGAGCUAAUACCGGAUAAUAUAUUGAACCGCAGGGUUCAAUAGUGAAAGACGGUUUUGCUGUCACGUAUAGAUGGAUCCGCGCCGCAUUAGCUAGUUGGUAAGGUAACGGCUUACCAAGGCGACGAUGCGUAGCCGACCUGAGAGGGUGAUCGGCCACACUGGAACUGAGCCACGGUCCAGACUCCUACGGGAGGCAGCAGUAGGGAAUCUUCCGCAAUGGGCGAAAGCCUGACGGAGCAACGCCGCGUGAGUGAUGAAGGUCUUCGGAUCGUAAAACUCUGUUAUUAGGGAAGAACAAAUGUGUAAGUAACUAUGCACGUCUUGACGGUACCUAAUCAGAAAGCCACGGCUAACUACGUG
rnacentral:rRNA from 1 species